rnacentral:rRNA from 1 species
UGACCUCAAAUCAGGUAAAAAUACCCCCUG